GUUUCCAACAGUGCUAUAUAUUGAAGCUUAGCUACGAUUGCUUUAACAAUAAAUAUUUUGCCCACAUUUAUGAAACUGGGAAAAUAUAAAAUGUUUUGGCAACAUUACAAGUUUCGAUUACGAUCAGACUUCAUUGAGAAAACUGAAAAGGUUAUCUCAAAUUAUUAAGUGUUUUCAAUCUUUUCUUGAUUUACUUACGCCCUCACGAUGUCGGACGCCCCUGGUCGCCCCAUGAAGUUCCCUUACACGUUCUCAGCGAAGAUCGCUCAGUUCCCAUAUAAAUUUUACCUCCAGAAUCUGUGGCUUUGGCGUUACUGGGCUGCCGCCAUCGUAAUUUCCUCACCACUCUUCUACAAAAUUCACAAAAUGUGUAAGCACCUGAAUAUUUUAUGCAAUUUUUAUUAAAUAUGACCAAAUAGGAUCAAUUCCAGUUACAAAAGCAAAAAUUACAAGAAUGCGAUACUCAUUAAUAAAAAAAAAACCUAACAUUGUUCCAAAUUCGUAUUAUUACAGAAAAUUAAUUUGGCGGUCCUGUUUUGUAAUUGCCUUGCUUUCCCUUUGUUAUAGACUACACUCUCCUAAGAUUUGAUAAAUGGUAGCCAUGUAAACAUGUAAAAAUUGUUUUUUGGCAUAACUAACUGGACAUCAUUAUAAUCCAGUGUGUUCUCCACAAUAUUUCCAAAUUUCAACAUAUAACUAUUAUAACCAUACUUUUGUUUAUAAUUAUUUUUAACUUCACUAAUGAACCUAUAGAAAAUCGGUUGCUUGAUAAGAUGUAAGUGUAGAAACAGACUAAAAGAGACAAAACCUUUGUUUUUCAUUUUUUUGGAGAGAAACUAAUACUAAAAUCAAUCAUACAUUUCUAGUUCUGUUUUAAUUAUUAUUUUGUGAUUAAUCUUACUUACCAACACUCUUUUUAUUAUACACACCCAAUUAUCUCUAUGAUUAAGCAUUAUAUUUAACCCUAUUGAUAAUCUAUAAAGAAAAAAGGAUAAUUAAUUUCAACUUCUGACCAAAUUGAUGCACAAGUAUUCUAUCAGCCUGUAUCAUUUUUGUUUGCAAAAAUAAAUACUCCAAACUUCAUUUUGAGUCAAUUUAAAAAGAUCAUUAACCAAUAACCAAUUCUUGACAACAGGACAACACAAUAAAGCAAUUCACUGGCAGGUGUCAGCAGUUAUGGUGAAUAUUAUGUAGCAUUUUAAGAGUUUGUCUAUGUUUAUUUUGUUAUUUUUCAGCAAACUCCCCUGAAAAUGUAAGCAAGUGGGCUGAAAUCAGAAGGAAAGAAGCUGCCGAACACCACUAAAUGUAGUAGUUCCAAUCACAGCUUGUAAUAAAUUGUUUGAUUUAUUUAUGUUGUAAGCAAUAAUAAAAUCAUGGGCUAGUU